GAUGAACGCUGGCUGCGUGCCUAAUACAUGCAAGUCGAGCGAAUGGAUUAAGAGCUUGCUCUUAUGAAGUUAGCGGCGGACGGGUGAGUAACACGCGGGUAACCUGCCCAUAAGACUGGGAUAACCCCGGGAAACCGGGGCUAAUACCGGAUAACAUUUUGAACCGCAUGGUUCGAAAUUGAAAGGCGGCUUCGGCUGUCACUUAUGGAUGGACCCGCGUCGCAUUAGCUAGUUGGUGAGGUAACGGCUCACCAAGGCAACGAUGCGUAGCCGACCUGAGAGGGUGAUCGGCCACACUGGGACUGAGACACGGCCCAGACUCCUACGGGAGGCAGCAGUAGGGAAUCUUCCGCAAUGGACGAAAGUCUGACGGAGCAACGCCGCGUGAGUGAUGAAGGCUUUCGGGUCGUAAAACUCUGUUGUUAGGGAAGAACAAGUGCUAGUUGAAUAAGCUGGCACCUUGACGGUACCUAACCAGAAAGCCACGGCUAACUACGUGCCAGCAGCCGCGGUAA
rnacentral:rRNA from 1 species